rnacentral:misc_RNA from 1 species
GAUGAAGAACGUAGCGAAAUGCGAUAAGUAAUGUGAAUUGCAGAAUUCAGUGAAUCAUCGAAUCUUUGAACGCACAUUGCGCCCCCCAGUAUUCUGGCGGGCAUGCCUGUUCGAGCGUCAUUUCAACCAUCAAGCCCUGCUUGUGUUGGGGUCCUGCGGCUGCCCGCAGGCCCUGAAAACCAGUGGCGGGCUCGCUAGUCACACCGAGCGCAGUAGCACAUCUCGCUCAGGGCGUGCGGCGGGCUCCAGCCGUUAAAGCACCCACCUUUCGCAAGGUUGACCUCGGAUCAGGUAGGAAUACCCGCUGAACUUAAGCAUAUAAAUAAGCGGAGGA